UGGGGGGUUGGAGAAGUAUCCCUUGCCUGUAGUUAUACGGGUUUAGAUGAUAAUUCAAUUGCUAUUUGCUAUACAAUGGGUUUGGCUGGGGCGGCACAUCUGUGAAAUAAUAAUGCAGGUGUCCUAAGGCAGGUUCAAUGAUAAGAGAAAUCUCAUGUUGACCAAAAGGGGAAAAGCUUGCUUCAUUUUGAUUUUCAGUACGAAUACAAACUGUGAAAGCAUGGCCUAGAGGUGUCAGAAAAGUUACCACAGGGAUAAUUGGCUUGUGGCAGCCAAGCGUUCAUAGCGACGUUGCAUUUUGAUCCUUCGAUGUCGGCUCUUCCUAUCACUGAGACGCAGAAGUCUCAAAGUGUCGGAUCGUUCACCCGCCAAUAGGGAACCUGAGCUGGGUUUAGACCGUCGUGAGACAGGUUAGCUUUACCCUACUGAUAAAUUCGAUACUGCGACAGUAAUCCAACUUAGUACGAGAGGGACAGUUGGUUCAGAUACUUGGUUAAUGCGGCUAGCUGAAAAGCUAAUGCCGCGACGCUACCAUCUGUUGGAUUAUGACUGAGCGCCUCUAAGUCAGAAUCCGCCUACACACAGUUUGCUUUCCUAGUGGACUUGUAUAUUCCAGAACAUGAAAAAAUGUCAAGGGUGCAAUAAAAGACUGACGUAGUCACUGUAGGUCGGCGAAAACGCCGGAACCACCAUAUCAGGGGGAAUCGCCGCAGAAGGUGACCUCUAAACCCAAAUGCUGCUGCGUUCCUCUUGCAUGGUGCAUCGGGGUUGUUGCUUGCAAC
rnacentral:ncRNA from 1 species